CCUUGCGGCAUUUAGCUUUAAAGGCGACCCGGAUGUUCUUCGCGCUCACAGUUUGAAUGGCGUUUGAAUGGUGCGAGCGUGUUAGACGAGUGUUUGUGUGAGUACAUGUGGUAUGUUUGAGUGUGUGAAUGUGUUCCUCCUAAAUCUACACAGUGAUCUUAUUUGAUCUGGUCUGAGUUUGGCUCUGCUCCGACUGGAAAUGAUAGGAAAAGCGCUCUCGAGCCUCUAUGGCGAUGAGUAGAUGCGAUAUGUUAGCGAGGGCCUCCACGCUUCAAUGUUGUGGUCAGAGGUGAUGAGUUGAUCAGAUAUACUAGUUCUAGUGAGUUUGGGUUCAUCUCAAGCUUCACGACGGACACUGAGUAAAGAAGCGAUUCUGAUCUAA